GCUUGUCGUAGCGGGUGGCCAGUCCACGCCAGUUGUUUGCGCCGGUUGAAGCCGCGUUCAAUGCGCGGACGCGCA
rnacentral:tRNA from 1 species